CACUUAACCCCACGCAGCAGUGCAUGCAUGCAUGCAUAGCACAACACCACUGCUAGCAACAAAGCUUUUAUGAAGUUUUAUUGAUUCUUCGCAAGAAAACCAUUAUGGAUCCGUUCACAACCAAGGUGCUGAUUGCGGCGUUAAGGCGUUGUUUACGGCUAUCAAAAGACACGUGGAUACCACCGUAGUAACCAGGGUAAUAAAUCGCAUCAGUCAGAAUACCUGAAGAACCAUGUUUUUGAAGUUGUUUGCCGCCGCCGUGUUUGACCCUAUGUUGAGUCAAUAGAAAUCAUGAGAAAACUAGAAACAAGCAUUGAUGAACGAAAAAUGCGGAUCAUUUUAAGAUGCGAUUGUUGGAGAGGGACCAUUGUGGAAACUGAAGAACUACUCAUGUGCUGUUAGAUUUAUCAGCUUAACAUAGAUUAGACAUUGAUUAUGUUAACAAUA